UUUGCAUAUUCAAAAAGCGGAGGAAAAGAAACCAACAGGGAUUGCCCUAGUAACGGCGAGUGAAGCGGCAACAGCUCAAAUUUGAAAUCUGGCUUCGGCCCGAGUUGUAAUUUGUAGAGGAAGCUUUUGGUGAGGCACCUUCUGAGUCCCCUGGAACGGGGCGCCAUAGAGGGUGAGAGCCCCGUAUAGUCGGAUGCCGAUCCAAUGUAAAGCUCCUUCGACGAGUCGAGUAGUUUGGGAAUGCUGCUCAAAAUGGGAGGUAAAUUUCUUCUAAAGCUAAAUACCGGCCAGAGACCGAUAGCGCACAAGUAGAGUGAUCGAAAGAUGAAAAGCACUUUGAAAAGAGGGUUAAAUAGCACGUGAAAUUGUUGAAAGGGAAGCGUUUGUGACCAGACUUGCGCCGUUCCGAUCAUCCGGUGUUCUCACCGGUGCACUCGGGGCGGCUCAGGCCAGCAUCGGUUUUGGCGGGGGGAUAAAGGUUCGGGGAACGUAGCUCCUUCGGGAGUGUUAUAGCCCCGGGCGUAAUGCCCUCGCCGGGACCGAGGUUCGCGCAUCUGCAAGGAUGCUGCGAUUGCCCUAGUAACGGCGAGUGAAGCGGCAACAGCUCAAAUUUGAAAUCUGGCUUCGGCCCGAGUUGUAAUUUGUAGAGGAAGCUUUUGGUGAGGCACCUUCUGAGUCCCCUGGAACGGGGCGCCAUAGAGGGUGAGAGCCCCGUAUAGUCGGAUGCCGAUCCAAUGUAAAGCUCCUUCGACGAGUCGAGUAGUUUGGGAAUGCUGCUCAAAAUGGGAGGUAAAUUUCUUCUAAAGCUAAAUACCGGCCAGAGACCGAUAGCGCACAAGUAGAGUGAUCGAAAGAUGAAAAGCACUUUGAAAAGAGGGUUAAAUAGCACGUGAAAUUGUUGAAAGGGAAGCGUUUGUGACCAGACUUGCGCCGUUCCGAUCAUCCGGUGUUCUCACCGGUGCACUCGGGGCGGCUCAGGCCAGCAUCGGUUUUGGCGGGGGGAUAAAGGUUCGGGGAACGUAGCUCCUUCGGGAGUGUUAUAGCCCCGGGCGUAAUGCCCUCGCCGGGACCGAGGUUCGCGCAUCUGCAAGGAUGCUGGCGUAAUGGUCAUCAACGACCCGUCUUGAACCCACGGGACCCA
rnacentral:misc_RNA from 1 species